UAAAAUUUAAUAUUAAAGAUACCAGUUUAGAAUGAUACAGAGAAGAUUAGCGUGGCCCCUGUGCAAGGAUGACAUGUAAAUUUAUGAAGUGUUCCAUAUUUUU